AGGGAGAGAGGGGUGGAAGCGACCGCGGCGCCACCAUGCAGUUGGCUAACAUAACUAAAAUGUUAGCCAACUUUUUCGGGCAUCAGAGGCCCGUAUCCUUCUGGGCUUCUAUGGAGAGACAUCUGUAUUCUUUGGUAUCAAGCGUCAACAGGGGAACUGGGCUUCUGCGGAGACUUCUGUAUUCCUUACCCUGGAGCAGUAUCCUGCAGUGUCCCGAGUGUGCGAAAUGGUCAAUCUAAUCGCUCCGCAUCGCAGUGACCACGUGUCUCGGACCAGCCGGAAUAAUUUGGUACCCCUUAGGGCAUUUCAGACAUCCGAUGAUCUUCCUGAAAUUCCUGAACCAGAAGAAGUGUUCAACGAAGCCCUGGGACCAGAUAUCGAAGCCCUCGAUCCAGGGAUCCAUAGAAUGAUAAUUAAUUAAGAAUGGUUUUAAGUUUCAGGUUGGGCCUCCCGAAUGCCCUGGCCUAAAGGUGGAAGAUGGUGAAAUGUGAAAUGUCAUUCGGAUGCCUCCGUCGUUGAGUCAACAGAGAUCCGAAGGAUGUUGAAGAUGGUUGUUAGGCAAUGCGACGUAAGGCUUGGUUCACCUAUUUAACAUGGGAUUGAGUUGUGCAUCGUAAUCGGGGCUUCGCGAAAUUAGAACAGCCCUCAUUGGUUCGACGAUGAAGGACAAUUGGUUGCUGGUCUAUACCAGGUGGCUGCUAGGAGCUGCGUCAAGCUUUACCCCUGGACCCUGAAAUGGACUCCGGUUGUAAUAACAGGUAGCUUCUUUUCCUACUUAAUGACCUGGCACAUUUUAGAUAGCCCUACUUAUAGUCAAAGUUCACACAAGACAUCCAAAGUACCUAUCACAUUCCUGGCUAAUAAUUUAUACAAGCCUCGACCACAAAGUCACCUAAGAACUUUUCUAACCAAGAUUUUACUAAGGAUUCUACUCAAAAUUCACUCAAGUACUCUCUAUUACGCAGUCAGAAAUUUUACUUGCAGUUACUCUAAGGUUUGGCUAUACUCGCCUCGGCGAUCAGUUACAUACCUUCUUAUUUUAGUUCUAGAAUAACCCAUAUGAUGUUAAUAUCGCUGAUAUGUUAAUGUAUUAAUUAUUGACCGGAAAAACUGAUUACUAAUAAGGCAAUUGCAGUUAAAAUCUACGAUGACUGUUAAAUAAAAUUCCAAAGCAGGUGGUGUCUAAAUGGAAGUGGUAAUGGCCUUUACACUACACGAUAUAGAUCGUAGGUUAGUCGAUAUAGGUCGAUAUAGAUCAUUUGUAGGAUUUAUACAAAUGGGUUUCUAAUUAUUGAUCCUUUUUGUAAAAAUGUUUCGUUAAUAGUUGGAAAGGACGCGCAAGCGUUUGAAUAUAAUUAUGUAUCAUUAACAAAUUCUUAAAGGAAUAAAUGUCAUAUAAACUGGUA